UACGUAGGGGGCAAGCGUUGUCCGGAUUCAUUGGGCGUAAAGAGCGUGUAGGCGGCCAGGUAGGUCGGUUGUGAAAACUGGAGGCUCAACCUUCAGAGGUCGACCGAAACCAUCUGGCUAGAGUCCGGGAGAGGAGAGUGGAAUUCCUGGUGUAGCGGUGAAAUGCGCAGAUAUCGGGAAGAACACCCGUGGCGAAGGCGGUUCUCUGGGACGGUACUGACGCUGAGACGCGAAAGCGUGGGGAGCGAACAGG
rnacentral:rRNA from 1 species